CCCGGGGUGGGCACGCUGUACG
rnacentral:miRNA from 1 species